GUACACCUGUCCAUUUACUGUGCUAAGUUAAAAAACACGAUUUUCAUCGAGCCGGUUCUCUCCUCCACGACCCAGCGCCCCCUUUUUGUUUUUCCUCUGAGGCUAGGGUUACCGCCGGCGGCGUCCUCCCCGGCGCUCGUGCCCUCUCCAUCCCGCCCGAGCUCCACCUCCUGCCUCAUCUCUAGCGAUCUUCUCAAUCUAGACCUCGGGAGCACGCACCGGCUACCUCUAGCUCGUCCUCCACCACGCUUGCGCUUGCGUGUUUGAUGGGCACAGGCUGCUCCACCUCCACGCACGGACGACAAGCACGGCGGCCCUGAGAAAGGUGCUCUCGCCCCCUUUUCUCCUUCUGGUUAUGAGCAUAGUGCAUAGGAAGCCUGUAGUAUGUAUCUGGCGAGGUGCAGUGUGGAGGCAGCGGAACAAGCAUCAUAUAUACAAUAAUACAAACGACUUAAAUCCUUCAAGAAGCGUUUCUGCGUUCUGCUACUCUUGGUUUCUCAUAAUCGCUCAAAGUGAAGAGGUUGUUCGUAGUUUCUGAAUCUUGAAAACUGUUGGGUACAGGUAUCACUGAUAUGGGAGCUCCCGUUGCAUAUUUGCGACUUCUCGGAAGAAGCCUGUGAACAUAUCGUCUCUGAAUAAGCCCGCCAAACCCCUGACACAGGUGUUGUAUUCUGAACAUUUCCUCGGCAAAUUGGGGCAGCUUGUCGAACAACCCACGCACAGCAAAAUCUGAAAAUCCUCUGAAUCAAAUGGGCCCUGGAUUACCAAAGUUGUUUGGUUGCACCAUGCAAAAUAAUCCCUAUAAAAAAUCCUACAAGAUUUGAUGCUACAAAUCAAGAGAAAUAUGACAUUGCUUAGUGUGAGGUGCUUACAAAGUACUUUUCGCCGUGGUGUUUAUUGAAAUAUUUGGGUAAUGCAGUUUUAUGAUAUUGUGUGGCUUAGCCUUUGUUCAGGAAUAGAGCGUGGGAACAAUAUCUUUGGUUGUAGCCUCUCCCAUGGAGUUUGGCCUGCUCGGCGCAUUGUUUGGUCUCCAGCCUCUCCCUGACUCUUUCUUCUCCCAGUGACUUCUCCUUUUACCAAUACCCGAUACUUGCAUCACUUAAUUCAUUGUUGUACAACUUCAUUUGCUUUGUGGCAGCAGAGGAAAGGGGGAGAAAAUGCGUCCAUUGUACCACGCUUGACCUUUGAGUAACAUUUGUUUGAUGGGAGAAUUUGAUGUAUGUUCUGAAGUAAGAAGAUGACCACUAUCCUAUUUCUCAUGUACAUUCUAGACGAUACACUUGUACGGUUGUGCUAAUAGAUGACUCUUAGACCAUGUAUAUUCUCUAAUUUCCCCCUUAGCUUGAACCAUCUAUUUAACCAGACAAUGUUGCGGCUAACUCUAAGAAGAAACGUUUAUCAAAAUUCCUCACAGGCUCGUGGUAGUUCAUCAAUCUUGCAAGAGGAACUGAGGAAAAUCUUAUUCAACACAACAGGAGGGGAACCGGCUGUGGUAGUUUUAGGUACUGCCCGCAAAUUUGGUACAUAGAACAUGAGCCAUCGUCACUUACGGUGGUAGUACUAACUGUGUCUGAUCUUCUUCCUUAGGUCUAUGUACUGCAGAUUUUGUACAUAUACCAUUUUUCUUCUCUAAGAUACAGUGUCCUGCUAAUUUUGAUGGUUUGUUGAAUUAUCUUCUUGUAAUAUACAUGCAUCAGCUUACUCAAGAUAACGGUUAAAUCCCUCACCGCUUUUGUUUGUUCCAAAAUAUUUCUCCAUGUAUCAUAUAAUGAGAAGAGGAAUUUUGGGCGAAAACAUACCGGCUUAUCGUCUGUUUUGUUUUAGGAAUCGGGAUGAUCGCCGUAUGUUAGAUCUCUAUCUCUUCCAGGCAAUGAUCAGAUGCACAACAUGGAAUCAGGAUGAUCGUCGUAUGAUAGAUCAUUUCCGGGCAAGGAUCGGACGCAUAACAUGGUAUGUACAUGCAAUGGAAUUGUUACAUAGAGGUACGCAUUUUGAUCUUCUAAUAUGCACUGCUGUCAUAAAGGUUAUGAUUGUUGUUUCAGAUACACACACACAAAAAUGUUCCAUGGUUAAUUUUGUAGAGGGAAAAAAAUUGAGGACUUAAAGUUUUGUUCUGUCUGAUUGUUGACAUGCCAAUGGAAGUGCUUGAUUGUCUUAAGCUAGAAUUCUUAUGGUUUGUUUCUUAGUGGGCUUGUUUUGUUUUAUUUUCCAAACACCCUAUGAUUUUAUCCUAAUCCCAAAUUGCUGAGGCAAGAUAAGAAUAAGGGGAAUCCAAGCCUAAUUCUUGUAUAUAGUAGUAACACACCAUAUGUACACUGAAGUACUAUUUAUGUUCUUCCUGAUGAAUCCAUGGAUUAUCACAUUCUGAAACCAUUUGAUGCAGCAAAUAUGUAGUUCCCCCAGAUGUUCUGGUAUCUGGAAUGAGCUUGAUGUGUUCCGACAUAGCUCAGUUUAUGACGAAGCCAUCGAACAGAAAUAUCAAGUUCGGAAAGAGUUUCGAGCGGCGAAACCAGUCUCUC